CUGGCGCUCAUGAAGGUUUGACCUGAAAGCAGAACCUGCGAGGUCCAGCCGGAUGUCUCUGCCAG
rfam:Tetraodon nigroviridis, WGS project CAAE01000000 data, contig: CNS0BVKO, chromosome: undetermined